rnacentral:rRNA from 1 species
UUCGUAGGGUGCGAGCGUUGUCCGGAAUUAUUGGGCGUAAAGAGCUCGUAGGCGGCUUGUCGCGUCGGAUGUGAAAGCCCGGGGCUUAACUCCGGGUCUGCAUUCGAUACGGGCAGGCUAGAGUUCGGUAGGGGAGAUCGGAAUUCCUGGUGUAGCGGUGAAAUGCGCAGAUAUCAGGAGGAACACCGGUGGCGAAGGCGGAUCUCUGGGCCGAUACUGACGCUGAGGAGCGAAAGCGUGGGGAGCGAACAGG